rnacentral:rRNA from 1 species
AUUGAACGCUGGCGGCAGGCCUAACACAUGCAAGUCGAACGGUAACAGGAAGAAGCUUGCUUCUUUGCUGACGAGUGGCGGACGGGUGAGUAAUGUCUGGGAAACUGCCUGAUGGAGGGGGAUAACUACUGGAAACGGUAGCUAAUACCGCAUAACGUCGCAAGACCAAAGAGGGGGACCUUCGGGCCUCUUGCCAUCGGAUGUGCCCAGAUGGGAUUAGCUAGUAGGUGGGGUAACGGCUCACCUAGGCGACGAUCCCUAGCUGGUCUAAGAGGAUGACCAGCCACACUGGAACUGAGACACGGUCCAGACUCCUACGGGAGGCAGCAGUGGGGAAUAUUGCACAAUGGGCGCAAGCCUGAUGCAGCCAUGCCGCGUGUAUGAAGAAGGCCUUCGGGUUGUAAAGUACUUUCAGCGGGGAGGAAGGGAGUAAAGUUAAUACCUUUGCUCAUUGACGUUACCCGCAGAAGAAGCACCGGCUAACUCCGUG